rnacentral:rRNA from 1 species
CCUACGGGUGGCAGCAGUGGGGAAUAUUGGACAAUGGGCGAAAGCCUGAUCCAGCCAUGCCGCGUGUGUGAAGAAGGCCUUCGGGUUGUAAAGCACUUUCAGUGGGGAAGAAAGCCUUGGGGCUAAUACCCUCGAGGAAGGACAUCACCCACAGAAGAAGCACCGGCUAACUCCGUGCCAGCAGCCGCGGUAAUACGGAGGGUGCGAGCGUUAAUCGGAAUUACUGGGCGUAAAGCGCGCGUAGGCGGUCUGAUAAGCCGGUUGUGAAAGCCCCGGGCUCAACCUGGGAACGGCAUCCGGAACUGUCAGGCUAGAGUGCAGGAGAGGAAGGUAGAAGGCCCGGUGUAGCGGUGAAAUGCGUAGAGAUCGGGAGGAAUACCAGUGGCGAAGGCGGCCUUCUGGACUGACACUGACGCUGAGGUGCGAAAGCGUGGGUAGCAAACAGGAUUAGAUACCCGGGUAGUC